rnacentral:rRNA from 1 species
GAUGAACGCUGGCGGCGUGCCUAACACAUGCAAGUCGAACGAAGCACUUCCGGUUUGAGAUUCGUCAAGAACUGGAUUUGACUUAGUGGCGGACGGGUGAGUAAUGUAUGAGCAACCUGCCUUUCAGAGGGGGACAACAGUUGGAAACGACUGCUAAUACCGCAUAAUGUAUUUUGGGGGCAUCCCCGGGAUACCAAAGGAGCAAUCCGCUGAAAGAUGGGCUCAUAUCUGAUUAGUUAGUUGGCAGGGUAACGGCCUACCAAGACUGCGAUCAGUAGCCGGACUGAGAGGUUGAACGGCCACAUUGGGACUGAGAUACGGCCCAGACUCC